rnacentral:lncRNA from 1 species
GUGUAGCAUGAAAAUCACAUGAAAUUUGUCUGCAUAUGUCGAUUUUCAACUGGUCCUCUUUAAUCCUUAGUGAGAUCAAACCUUAACCAAAGUCGGAGUGUAAAAAUACCAAAACUUUAUUUCUGCAGAAAAUAUUCUUAAGCCUUACUUGAACUGAAGUGUGUCUAUAUUAUAAAAGCAUUAAAAAUAACAAACUCCCACUAAAACUUAAUAUCACUUAAUGACUUGACACCCAUACGAGCAAUAUGCUCAUGGAGCCUUUUGGGUGAAAAACUUUAGUAAGCAGAUCCGCAAAUAUGGAGUUUGUACCGAUAUGUUUUAUAGACAACCGUUCACUCUGAACUUAAUCUUUAAUAACAAGAACUUGAUCUCUAUAUUCUUGAAUUUAUCGAGUUCCUUGUUAUUGAAAAUAGAACUAAUAAUUUAUUGUCACAAAUAACUUUAGUGGUAUUUCAAUUCCUUAUCCACUAUGUGCAUCCCCGUGACAAAGUUCUAUAAUCAGAUGCCUCAUGAUAUGUUAUCUUUGCAUCCAACAAAAUCGGAGUCAG